UACGAAGGGGGCUAGCGUUGCUCGGAAUCACUGGGCGUAAAGCGCACGUAGGCGGCUUGUUAAGUCGGGGGUGAAAUCCUGGAGCUCAACUCCAGAACUGCCCUCGAUACUGAUGAGCUCGAGUCCGGGAGAGGUGAGUGGAACUGCGAGUGUAGAGGUGAAAUUCGUAGAUAUUCGCAAGAACACCAGUGGCGAAGGCGGCUCACUGGCCCGGUACUGACGCUGAGGUGCGAAAGCGUGGGGAGCAAACAGG
rnacentral:rRNA from 1 species